GGGGCCAAGCGAUCCUCCUGCCUCAGCCUUCUGAGUAGCUGGGACCACAGGCGUGCACCACCAUGCCCACCUAAUUUUUUAUUUCUUGUAGAGAUGAGGUCUCCUGCCUCAGCCUCCCAAAGUGCUGGAAUUUACAGGGUCUCCUCUGUCACCCAGGCUGGAGUGCAGUGGUGCAGUCAUGGCUCACGGCAUCCUUGACCUCCCAGGCUCAAGAUCCUCCCCCGUCAGCCUCCUCAGUAGCUGAGAUGACAGGCAUGUGCCACCAUGCCCGGCUGUGUUUUGAUUUUUUUUUUUUGUAGAGAUGAAGUCUCACUAUGUUGCCCAGGCUGGUCUCAAUCUCCUGGGCUCAAGUGAUCCUCCCACCUCAGCCUCCCAAAGUGUUGGGAUUACAGGCCCUAGCCACCAUGCCUGACCUAAGAUCAGUUUUCUUAAAUUUGACAGUUGCUACUUUUCAAAAUUCAAACCUUUCUAAAUAAAAGUAAGUUGAUUAUUUGCA
rnacentral:lncRNA from 1 species